GACGAACGCUGGCGGCGUGCUUAACACAUGCAAGUCGAACGAUGAUGCCCAGCUUGCUGGGUGGAUUAGUGGCGAACGGGUGAGUAACACGUGAGUAACCUGCCCCUGACUCUGGGAUAAGCGUUGGAAACGACGUCUAAUACUGGAUAUGAUCACUGGCCGCAUGGUCUGGUGGUGGAAAGAUUUUUUGGUUGGGGAUGGACUCGCGGCCUAUCAGCUUGUUGGUGAGGUAAUGGCUCACCAAGGCGACGACGGGUAGCCGGCCUGAGAGGGUGACCGGCCACACUGGGACGGAGACACGGCCCGGACUCCUACGGGAGGCAGCAGUGGGGAAUAUUGCACAAUGGGCGCAAGCCUGAUGCAGCAACGCCGCGUGAGGGAUGACGGCCUUCGGGUUGUAAACCUCUUUUAGUAGGGAAGAAGCGAAAGUGACGGUACCUGCAGAAAAAGCACCGGCUAACUACGUGCCAGCAGCCGCCGUAA
rnacentral:rRNA from 1 species